CUGAGCGGCGGACGGGUGAGUAACGCGUGGGUAACCUGCCUCAUACAGGGGAUAACAGUUAGAAAUGACUGCUAAUACCGCAUAAGACCGACGGUACCGCAUGGUACAGUGGUAAAAACUCCGGUGGUAUGAGAUGGACCCGCGUCUGAGUUAGGUAGUUGGUGGGGUAACGGCCUACCAAGCCGACGAUCGGUAGCCGGACUGAGAGGUUGAACGGCCACAUUGGGACUGAGACACGGCCCAG
rnacentral:rRNA from 1 species